rnacentral:rRNA from 1 species
CUACGGGGCGCUCCAGUGGGGAAUAUUGCACAAUGGGCGCAAGCCUGAUGCAGCCAUGCCGCGUGUAUGAAGAAGGCCUUCGGGUUGUAAAGUACUUUCAGCGGGGAGGAAGGGAGUAAAGUUAAUACCUUUGCUCAUUGACGUUACCCGCAGAAGAAGCACCGGCUAGACUCCGUGCCAGCAGCCGCGGUAAUACGGAGGGUGCAAGCGUUAAUCGGAAUUACUGGGCGUAAAGCGCACGCAGGCGGUUUGUUAAGUCAGAUGCGAAAUCCCCGGGCUCAACCUGGGAACUGCAUCUGAUACUGGCAAGCUUGAGUCUCGUAGAGGGGGGUAGAAUUCCAGGUGUAGCGGUGAAAUGCGUAGAGAUCUGGAGGAAUACCGGUGGCGAAGGCGGCCCCCUGGACGAAGACUGACGCUCAGGUGCGAAAGCGUGGGGAGCAAACAGGAUUAGAUACCCGUGUAGUC